CAGCAAAGCUGUACUUCCUGGCUGCUCUUGCAGUCAAGUGGCACAUGCAACUGAGUUCAGGCCGGGGGACUGUGAGCGAUGUACUCCACUUCCAGGCUUGGGCUAAUUACCUCCUAUGUGCGGUCCUAGCUCCUUGUUCUUCUUCCACAGCGGAUGUGCAUGAGCACAGGACUUGGAUGCUACUUACUGAAGGUAGUAAAGCCAGAAGAUGACAGAUACCUGGGUCUCUCAGUCUCUCUACACGGCUCACUCAUUUUGGACUUUUCAUGAGCAAAAAGUAAACUUUUAUCAUACACUUUUUCUGCAGUGUCAACAUCAUCUUCAUCAUUACUAUUACUACAAUCACCUUGAUUCAGAACCCAUCAGUCAAUGAAUGAACAACUGGAGCCUCACUAUUGGUGUGAAUAAUUUCUUUGAUAUCCACUUCUUCCAGCUUGCUGAUAGACUCUGAAGUAUCCUCAGCUCUUGGCCCAGUGAGUCUUCUGUGCAUGCUGCUGGGGGAAAUCAGCCAGAACUGCUCUGCUGGACAAGAUUCUCAGAAUAGAGGCUGCUAACAAGCCCAGAUGGCAGUUGCAGCCAUCUUGUGACUAGAAGAAGAGGAAGCUCCAUACUCAGGGGCUCCAGAACACUAGAGUCACAGUCCUGAGACACAUACCUGGAGGCUGCCCUGCGUGUGGACUUCGGUAUGUUUAAUAAUAAAUUUCUUAAUAUUUUAAGCCAGUUUUAACUGUGUGUCUUACACUUAAAGCCAAAUGUGCUCUAACUGUAAAAAGUAAGAUGGGGGAAUACUAAUUCUCAUUAUAAUCUUCUCCAACCAACUUUUAAAAAAUAAAUUCUACUGUAUAUAUUUGAGGUAUACAACACAAUGUUAUGAGAUAGUAAAACGA